AGGGUACAGAGAUUUCCCAUCUGCUCCCUGCCCCUGCCCCCGAGCAGCGCCUCCCUCACUGUGGACGCCCCCUGCCAGGGGGGUGCCCUUGUUACAGUCAUUGGGGUUGACUGUCGGUGUUGUACAUGCUGUGCAUUUGGACAGGUGUCCCCCCCGUGGUGCUGCAGCGAGUGGACUCACGGCCCUAAGAUUCCUCUGUGCUCCCCUCUGCACCCCUCCCUCACCGCUCACCUCUGGCCCCCACUGAUUUUUUUCACUGUCUGCACAGGCUCGCCUUUUCCAGAAUGUCGUAUGGCUGGAAUCACAGCUACAGUUAGGAGCCUUUGCGCAUUGGCUUCUUUUACUUAGAGAUACGGAUGUAGAUUUCCUCCCUGUCUUUUCACGGCUUCCCAACCUACUUCGUUUUAGCACCAGAUAGUAUCCCGAGGUCUGGAUGGACCACAGGGUAUGUAUCCAUUCACCUGCUGAAGGGUAUUUUGGUUGCUUCCAAGUUUCGACAGUUAAGUAUGCGACUGCCGUAAACCCAUUUCUGCUGGGUUUUGUGUAGACGUAGGUUUUCACCUCAUUUGUGUCAACACUCAAGGGCACAGUGGCUGGAUGCUACGCCGAGAAUAUGUUCAACUCUGUCUUCGGAAGUACCUCACUGUCUCUGGAAAUGGCUGAGCCAUGUUGCCUUCCUUCCAGCCGUGAGUGAGGGUCCCGUGGCUGCACCACCUUGGCAGCAUUUGGUGUUGCCGGUGUUGCGGAUUGUAGUCCUUCUCAUAGCAUUUUAGUGGUCUCUUCUUGAUUUACCAAGAUUUGUUUUUAAUUGUAACUUUGAAAUAAGCACGUUUGGGAUGUCCUGUUGUGGUGUAGCAGAAACGAACCGAGUGGUAACUUCAAGGAUGCGAGUUUGAUCCCUGGCCUCGCCUAGCGGGUUGGGGAUCUGGCGUUGCCAUGAGCUGGGGUUGCCGCGGCUCAGAUCUGUCAUUGCUGUUUUUGGCUGUGGCACAGGCUGGCAGCUGCAGCUCUGAUUCAGCCCCUAGCCUGAGAACUUCUGUAUGCCACUGGUGCAGCCCUAAAAAGCAUAAUAAUAAUAAUAAUAAACACAUUUAUAUGAAAAUCCGAGGAGUCUGGCAGUUUGGUAGUAACUGAAGCUAGAAUAUUCCACUGGUAACAUUUUACCGUAACUACUGGCCAUCAGGAGAGACCAGAGACUAAGGCCAUGGACUCUCAGUUCAUGUGCUUUAUGUUCGCGAGGCCAAGUGAUUUUAAACUAUGGGUCUGUUGAGGGUUAUACAAUGACAGUAACUGUUGAAGUGCUGAAUGGGCACUAGGAUGAUGGGUUUCUGAGUGGAAACAGUGGGUUUCUCAUGCUGUCCACAACAUGAGAAACUCAUCGCACGUGUACUGCGCUUGCUCGACUGAAUCUAAGCGUCAUGAUUAGACACUCCCUGUGGUGUGGGCACUGACACUGCAUCAUAGGGACAGUUGCUGGGUCCAGAGACGUUGCUCUUGACUGUUUGCCAUGGGACGCACGACUUUUAU
rnacentral:lncRNA from 1 species